GGAAACUUACGCUAAUACCGCAUACGAAUGAAUGAGCCGAUGCCCGAUUAGCUAGUUGGCGGGGUAAGAGCCCACCAAGGCGACGAUCGGUAGCUGGUCUGAGAGGAUGAUCAGCCACACUGGAACUGAGACACGGUCCAGACUCCUACGGGAGGCAGCAGUGGGGAAUAUUGGACAAUGGGCGCAAGCCUGAUCCAGCCAUACCGCGUGGGUGAAGAAGGCCUUCGGGUUGUAAAGCCCUUUUGUUGGGAAAGCGGUACCCAAAGAAUAAGCACCGGCUAACUCCGUGCCAGCAGCCGCGGUAAUACGGAGGAUCCGAGCGUUAUCCGGAUUUAUUGGGUUUAAAGGGAGCGUAGGUGGACUGGUAAGUCAGUUGUGAAAGUUUGCGGCUCAACCGUAAAAUUGCAGUUGAUACUGUCAGUCUUGAGUACAGUAGAGGUGGGCGGAAUUCGUGGUGUAGCGGUGAAAUGCUUAGAUAUCACGAAGAACUCCGAUUGCGAAGGCAGCUCACUGGACUGCAACUGACACUGAUGCUCGAAAGUGUGGGUAUCAAACAGGAUUAGAUACCCUGGUAGUCCACACAGUAAACGAUGAAUACUCGCUGUUUAGCGG
rnacentral:rRNA from 1 species